ensembl:lncRNA
AGCAUGGCCCGCGGCGUCGCUAUGGAGGACAGAGAGCUGCACUUCCCUCUGUUUUGAAGACGAUACUUCACAUUUGGGAUUUGAUGUCCCUGUAAACACGCAGAGACAAAGUAUACAUCCCGAGGUGACAAAGGUGUUGCUAACACAACAAUUGCCUUCCCUCUACAGGGACCUACAACAGGUUCUGCAGUCAGUUCUGUGACAGCCCUCGACACCUUCGCCUCACCUCAUUUUCACACAACCUGUUUCUCGCUUUCUGUCAUUGCUAUCACCUCCAUAAUUAUUCCUUAACUUUCACUCCGCCUCAGACUGCUUAAGACUGUAAUUUCUUGAAAAACAUCUUCCUCCUUCAGCAUCUCUUCCAGUGGGGGGCACUUAUCUAUCAAACUUUUCAAAGUGAAAAUUGUGCUAAACGUCCUUUUGGUGAAGUCCUUUUGCAUCGCCCUGAAAGUCUCAUUCUUACUUUCCAAGCACAGUUUAAAAAAAAAAAAACAAUUCUUUCACUGUUAGGCUUUUAAGCUUGCACAUCUUUCAUAUCGGACUUGCCGUUUAUCUGUUUUCUUAGACCGCACCCACCAUGCUGAAGGUGUUUCACUGCACUAAUUGGCCAAAGUCAUGACUGAAAUAGAGUUAAACUAACCAGGAGACUAAAAAAAGAAAAGAAAGGAAAAUACAAACUCUUAAAAUUAAACUUUGCAUAAAAAACAGCAGAACAGCAUUUCAGAUGUAUUACAAAUGUUAAAAACUGGUGUUUUCACUGCAAUGAGACAAAAUAAUUUGCAUUCAUUUCUGCAGAUCAACUAUUUCACUGGGCUAUUUUGCACCGACUUUGCUCAUUUGAUGGCUUUUUGUCGGACGUCAGCUGCGAAGCAUUUCCCCGGUGGGUUCUAGUUUUUCCCUUCACAGCUGACAUUGAACAUGGGCAUUCAUAAACCAUCCAGCACUUGAGACUUUUCCUAAGACUUAACAAUCCAGCCUGAGAUCUCUCUUCCAGCUCUGUCCUUCUACCUCUAGCUCACUUUAUCUCUCGCUCUCCAUCCCUCCCUCCCUGUCCAAAG